AAACCAUUUUUCCCCCUAAGUCUAGGCGAUAAAAAAGGAAAUCCGGAGCAAUAGAAAAAGUACCGCAAGGGAAAGCUGAAAGAGAGAUGAAACAGCCCAGUUGAAGCUUAACAAAGCAGAGAUCAAAACUCGUACCUUUUGCAUCAUGAUUUAGCUAGAACCUUCAAGCAAAGAGAACUGGGAGUUUGAACCCCCGAAACUGGGUGAGCUACUCCAAGACAGCCUUUACUGUAGGGCAAACCCGUCUCUGUGGCAAAAGAGUGGGAAGAACUUUGAGUAGAAGUGACAGACUUACCGAACCCAGUAAUAGCUGGUUGCUCGUGAAUUGGAUAGAAGUUCAGCCCCCAACACUUUUUCCUUAGCCACAGUCACGGGUCACCCCGUAUUUAUUUUGGACAAAAAGAAAACUUGGGAGGUUAGUCAAAGGGGGUACAGCCCCUUUGAAACAAGAUACAACUUUUGCAGACGGAUAAAGAUCAUAUUUACCAAGGGUAAAUGUUCUAGUGGGCCUGAAAGCAGCCACCUUAAAUAACAGCGUUUAAAGCUCAAACAUGAACCCCGCCCCCCAAUACCGAUACCACCUCUAAACCCCCUAACACCUAACGAGCCGCCCCAUGCGCACAUGGGGACGACCAUGCUAAUAUGAGUAAUAAGAGGGUAUUUAAAACUCUCUCCCUGCACGAGUGUAAGUCGGAUCGGACCUACCACCGAGCAUUAACGGCCCCAAUCAAAGAGGGCACUGGAAGUCUCCACCAACUGACUAGAAGAGCAUCCAGCAUACUCCCGUUACCCCUACACUGGUGUGCGUCCUGGGAAAGACUAACCGGGGAAGAAGGAACUCGGCAAAUAUACCUAAAGCCUCGCCUGUUUACCAAAAACAUCGCCUCUUGCAAACCGCAGUAUAAGAGGUCCUGCCUGCCCAGUGACAAAUUGUUCAACGGGCCGCGGGUAUUUUGACCGUGCUAAGGUAGCGGUAAUCACUUGUGUUUUUUAAAUGAAGAACCCGGUAUGAAAUGGCAAAAACCGAGGGGCUUAACCUGUCUCCUUUCCCAAGUCAAUGAAAUUGAUCUCCCCGUGCAGAAGCGGGGAUAACCCCAUAAGACGAGAAGACCCUAUGGAGCUUUAGACAAACGACUGAACCGUAUUCCCUGGCCCCUUCUCACAGGAACUAAAUUUAAUGGACCCUCUUUCAAUGUCUUCGGUUGGGGCGACCAUGGGGAAAACAAAACCCCCAAGUGGAAUAGGGGUAACGAAAACGUCGAUUACACCCCUUAAGGUAGAGCGACAGCUCAACACAACAGAAAUUCUGACCAAAAUGAUCCGGACAUUCCGAUCAACGAACCAAGUUACCCUAGGGAUAACAGCGCAAU
rnacentral:rRNA from 1 species